UCAUGGCUCACUGCAACUUCUGCCUCCCUGGCUCCCAGCCUCAAGUGAUCCUCCCACUCCAGUCCCCUGAAGCAACUGGGACCACAGGGUAAUUUUAUGCUGAUUGAAGAAAAGAAGUAAACAGAGUUCCAGAAAGCAACUGCAAAUACUCAUUUUGAAAAAGAAAACAAAACAAAAACAAGGGAGACAUUUUAAAAGGUGCUAAAGCAACAGGACCAGUUGCCAGAGAGCUUAUUUUACCUCCCCAAAACAAGAUUGGUGUUUCAUCCUUGAGUUUAGUACACAGGAUUGUUCUUAUUCUUCUGCAGAUAGAGAGGUGCACUGCUUUAUGCUGCAAGUUGUCUAUAAGACAAGUUUUGUGAGUAUCAAAUAUUUGUAAGCAAAUCAAAUUUCUCCCCCAGUUGAAAUGAUUAUUUCAGAAGAAUUUCUUCUUUGUUUUGAAUUGGACUUCUGAGUUGGACUUCUCAGCAUGAUAAAGAAGAAAGAGCAUUAGAAUAAGAAAGAAGAUUAAGCUUCUUGUUUUGAUUAUGCCCAUAAUCAGCUGUGGGACCCCGGGCUAAUGCACUCCAAAAUCCCACUGUUCUGUGACCUUGCUAUGUGGGGCAUCAGCCUCCUCAUCUCUAAUAUUUUGGAUUUAAGUUAGUUGAUUUUUAUGGUCCCGCAAUGGAAUUCUUUAAACAACUCCACUAAUCCAUGAUACUGUUGCUUUAAAAAUCUUGGUUUUAGCUUUCCUCUAAGGAAUUUAUAGUGACAAUUAUCUACUUUUUUUUUCUUAAAUAAAAAUAGAGGUGGGG
rnacentral:lncRNA from 10 species